CCAUAGCUCAGUCGGUAGAGCAACUGACUUUUAAUCAGUAGGUCACAGGUUCGAAUCCUGUUGG
rnacentral:tRNA from 1 species